rnacentral:rRNA from 1 species
GAUGAACGCUAGCUACAGGCUUAACACAUGCAAGUCGAGUGACCGACGCACGGGUGAGUAACACGUCUCCAACCUGCCCUUUCCUCUCGGAUAUCCUUUCGACAGACAGAUUAAUACCCGAUAUCAAGGUUGGGGAUGCGUUCGAUUAGGUUGUUGUUGAGGUAACGGCUCACCAAGCCUUCGAUGGAUAGGGGUUCUGAGAGGAAGGUCCCCCACAUGUGAACUGAGACACGGUCCAAACUCCUACGGGAGGCAGAAGUGAGGAAUAUUGGUCAAUGGGCGCUAGCCUGAACCAGCCAAGUAGCGUGAAGGAUGAAGGCUUAUGGGUCGUAAACUUCUUUUAUAUAAGAAUAUGUAUUAUAUGAAUAAGGAUCGGCUAACUCCGUGCCAGCAGCCGCGGUAAUUC